GUCGGCUGGGGUUAGUACAACAAGACAAUCCCCUCGCCUUUUACUAGGGGAUUCCGUGUACUGACUCCAUUCAAAGCCGCAAUACGAAUUUUUCAGAUGCAUGCUUCGUCCGGAAGCAC
rnacentral:snRNA from 1 species